rnacentral:tRNA from 1 species
GCCGGCUUAGCUCAGCGGUAGAGCAGCGCUUUUGUAAAGCGAAGGUCACUGGUUCAAAUCCUGUAU